CUAGCACUUCCUGAGGACUCCAAGCACUGCAGCAGACACCACAACCACCGAACCGGAGAAGCAUAUGAAUGCUCUCAAGCAUUUGAAUGCUGUAAGCAGCUGAACAGGAAAAGCAUACAAUCAGCUUACACUCCUGGCAAUCAGCAUACAAUCCAAUUCCCCCAAUAACGAGACAACACUUCGUUUUGAGGUCAAGCAGAACUGACUGUACUGGCCCAUACAGUCUCUUUUAUUCACAAUCCACAAACAUAGUACUGCCCACAGGGUUUUGAAAUACAACCAAUCAAUCCGUACAAUACACACAGACACUCCCACACAAAAUCCUCCCCUCUGAUUACUGAACACAAUGGUUAAUAUAAUUAUCACAGGCAGAGAAAUACAGUAUCAUAAAACAUAUCACAGGGACCCCAAAACAUGCAAUAACCCCAUAUAUCCUUGGAACCGGGGGAUCUGGGUGAACCACAUAUCCAAAAUUCACCCAGAUCUGUUCAAUAGUUUGGAAGAUACAGUUUAAUGCAGAUUCCGCAGAACAUAUACAGGCUAUAUGAAAAAUAAUUACUGUAUAAUGUGUCUUCUGUUGUAUAGUUUAAAACUACUGCACAAUGUCUUUGUGCACCAAAUACUGGCGAGAUGGCACCAUGUAGAAAAGUCUAAACAGUGUCUGUGAGUUAAAAUGGCUGCCAUCCAUUGUUCUCACCAUGUGCUUCAUCCAUUGUUCUCACCAUGUGCAUCUGAUACAUGAAAUGGUGGCCACCCAAUAACUCCACAGUAUGUCCCCAGAUGGUUCUUAAAGGGCCAGUAGCACAACACAAAUCCUUUAUGCCCCAAUCAUGUCUUUAAAGGGCAAUACAUCCCAGGAGCCAUAGUCACAUGGCAGGAGGCUGGCAACCAGGCUUCUCCAGUGCCCAGUGGCCAGGUCGGUUUUGCCACAGCACCUAUUUUCCUGGAACUAUUUUGGGCUAGCACCUCAUGCCUGGUUGGUCGAAGCUUUACCCCGAUGGCAUAUCUGAGUGAUCUUUGGAUGUUAUACACUCAGACUGGAGGGGGCAGGGUGCACUUUUGAGGUACUGUAUAUUUUGUUGGACUUUCUGUACCUGAGAAACAAUUAGCUUAGAGGUUUUCUCUCAUGCAAUUAUCUCUCAGUCACAGAGGAUCCUAGGAUUGAAACCACUGUUUUAUUGUAUUGUAAACCCCAUGUAAGGGACUGGGGAUAAAAACCGUAUAUGGUCUGAAUAAACUCAGUUGACUCCCAGAACUAUGUUUCAUCUGGUUACUGGCAGAAUGUAUAUCUGAUAAAAUAGAAAGGUGAACAGCGCUAAAAAUCAGCAGAAUCGAUUUUCAUCAUCAGAGAAGGUAUAUAAUCUCAAGGACCCCAAGCAGCAAGCAUUCACUUUUGAGAAAGCUUCGGCGAAACGCGUCAAGUGAGGAAGAAUUUUGGACUUUUUUACAGGACUGGUUUUAUAGUUUAUUAUUCACUUUUCACUUAUUGUAUUAAAGUAUACAUAUAUUUUUUAAACUAUCCAGUCACUCCUCUUGUCCUCCUUCCUAUCCAAUACUGCUUUGCUGCUAUACCUGGGUCCACUAUAUCCCAAGGUGGGGAUUAUUCCACCUGAAAUUCUCCAAACUAGAGCAGGUCGUUGCUCUAGUAUAUGUAAGUAGGAUCAUCCACCUUUUUUUUACAAUAUUUUAUAUUUACGUACUAUACCAUGUGGUGUAUUUUACUCUUGUUUUUCAUGUAACGAAUAUUUACACCUAUAAAUUCACCAACGGUCUUGAAC